GGCUUUCCUCGCUGCUAGAAAAGCAGGCCUAUUAGGAUUGUUGUGCUUAACCAAUUAAUUUGCGGCGAAGAAAAAAAAACACUUUGUGGUUCGGGGUGCUCUUCGCAUAGUUGCAUGAAAAAGGACCAAUUAAAUUAUCAAAGACGAGCCCUCUGCUCCUCCAACAGGGACUCGAGCGGGCCUUUUGAGCGCUGUCUGAGGAGCUCACAGAUACCUUUGCCUAAGACUCAUCUCCUAACCUAAUUAACCAAUCAGAUGGCCUAAAUCCGGCGCUGGCACUUUGGCAGUCGAACCCUGCAGCUGCAGGCACCGCGGCUGGGCACAGCAUGACCCCUGUAGGUCAGAGAUCGCGCCCUACAUCUGACUCGGCUCCACUGCCAAGCCCGCUGCUACUGCCUCUCAGUGACCUCCAGCUGCACCUGCAGAUCCUCUCCACCUCCACCCAUGUGUGUGCCUGAGGGCUUUGUCUCUGCUCCUCUCUAAGCAUUUCCAGGCCAGCACUCCUCCU
rnacentral:lncRNA from 1 species